AAAAAUUAUAAAAGAUAUGGUGCCCUUGAUGGGUUAAAAGGGAAAGUGGUUAAAUUCCACUGCAGCCCCCGCUACUGUAUAUGGGAACGAAAUUCGAUUAAGCCAUUGGGAAACUGAGAAGGCCGAAGAUUAGGAUGAACCAUGAGCCAGGAAACCUGCCUUAUCUUAUUAUUACUA
rnacentral:ncRNA from 2 species